ensembl:snoRNA
GUGCACAUUUCAUUGACCUGUUUUGUAACGUUCUCGUGAGAAGUGUUAGUACUCAUGUGCUGCAUAAUAGUUGAAGCUAAUUAGCAGUAUGAUUAAAUAGUAAUACUGCCAGUCUCCUUCAGACAGCU